GACGAACGCUGGCGGCGUGCUUAACACAUGCAAGUCGAACGGUAAGGCCCUUCGGGGUACACGAGUGGCGAACGGGUGAGUAACACGUGGGUGAUCUGCCCUGCACUUCGGGAUAAGCCUGGGAAACUGGGUCUAAUACCGGAUAGGACCACUGCCUGCAUGGGUGGUGGUGGAAAGCUUUUGCGGUGUGGGAUGGGCCGGCGGCCUAUAAGGUUGUUGGUGGGGUGGUGGCCUACCAAGGCGACGACGGGUAGCCGGCCUGAGAGGGUGACCGGCCACACUGGGACUGAGAUACGGCCCAGACUCCUACGGGAGGCAGCAGUGGGGAAUAUUGCACAAUGGGCGCAAGCCUGAUGCAGCGACGCCGCGUGAGGGAUGACGGCCUUCGGGUUGUAAACCUCUUUCAGCACCGACGAAGCGCAAGUGACGGUAGGUGCAGAAGAAGGACCGGCCAACUACGUGCCAGCCGCCGCAGUAA
rnacentral:rRNA from 1 species